CCUACGGGUGGCAGCAGUGGGGAAUAUUGCGCAAUGGGCGAAAGCCUGACGCAGCGACGCCGCGUGAGGGAUGAAGGUCUUCGGAUCGUAAACCUCUGUCAGCAGGGACGAACGGUCACUGUGCUAAUCAGCAGUGAAUUGACGGUACCUGCAAAGGAAGCACCGGCUAACUCCGUGCCAGCAGCCGCGGUAAUACGGAGGGUGCGAGCGUUAAUCGGAAUUACUGGGCGUAAAGCGCUCGUAGGCGGUAUGUCAAGUCAAGGGUGAAAUCCCCGGGCUCAACGUGGGAACUGCCUUUGAAACUGGCAAACUGGAGUGUGUGAGAGGAUAGUGGAAUUCCAGGUGUAGGAGUGAAAUGCGUAGAUAUCUGGAGGAACAGCAGUGGCGAAGGCGACUAUCUGGCACAUAACUGACGCUGAGGAGCGAAAGCGUGGGUAGCAAACAGGAUUAGAUACCCCAGUAGUC
rnacentral:rRNA from 1 species